CCUUCUGUAUUUCUGUAGUUGAUUUUCUGCAGUUGACUUUCUGCUUCUAAGUGGACAUUUUUUCCCCUUUGUUUUUAUUAUAUUUCUUCAUUUGAUCAACUCUUUCUCAUUUGUCAAGAUAAUUUUGAAUUCAAAUGUUGUCUUUCACAGCGCUUGCAAACUGCUGGGGGACAAAAUCCAUAUUGCUUAAACCAUAGUCAUAGCAGAAAGAAGACCAUGAGCAUCAAGGAAGCAGAGAGUCAGCAAAUGUGGAGGACCGUUCAGUCCCAUAUCUGUCUGGAUAUUCCCAAGUCACAGAAAAGGACUGUAGCAAAUCUUACUCAUUCUUCAAGAGAGAGCAUGUUCUCAGUCAUCCUGCCUCACCCUGCAAGCACUUCAUAGACUACAAACACUACUACAGCGAGCUUAUAUGAACCUGAAGAUGUUAGUGGGAUGAGACUGAUACUCAUCAGACAGAAGCAGGAAACGAAACAUAUAGAUGGUGAGGAAGCUGGGACCACAGACUGACUGACCCAUCCUCUGCUGUGUGUUUGACACCUGUGGUGAUUUUAAAGUGAGGAGUGUGCUCUGUUUGUCCCUGUGGUUUCAGCCUCCUCAGUGCGGGCUGCUGCAUCGCCAGGAAUGUGGAUGCUUUCUGCUGCCCGGGAUCCUGUUUUGUUACCGCUUCCUCCUUUGGCCUCCUGCCAGAAAAUCACCUUGGAAACCCAGGCACCCGUUUCCAUGGUCACUUGGAGGAGCAUACGUUUCCUUCCAUGGCGUUGGGGUAUUCGGAGGAGGAAACCCGCAAGCUUUUUUUGCCAGAGUAAGUUUGGUGGGAUUGGACUCAAAGAGCUGCAUCCUGACCUUAUUUCCUUCCAUCAAAUCCCCAGCGAAACCACCGGAGCUGCAGAGCGUAAACAAGGGCAGAAUGUGGCUUUACAUGAAUGCAUUCACACCGAGCUGUGAAAUAACGACUUACAAACAACCUGCCUCUGACUUAUUCCCACCCCAGAGAAACUCAAGAGUGAGAUGAACAGGAAUAAAAGGGAACUUUGUUCUCCCCCAAACACAGGGACAUAAAAUUCCAUGAACAAGAAAUAAAAGCACACACCUGAUGGCUGAGGUGAAAACCAGCAGUAGCUGGUCAAGCUAAAGGUCUGACUGUGCCAGCAUCCUGUAUGCAGAAAUCUCUUGAGGGUGGUUGUGGAAAAAGGUGGAAGAAACAGCAUGAGCAUUUUACCUGACUGCCAGGAUGGUGAAAUCAGCUAGUUGGGUUCCAGCACUGUAGGAUCAAAGGCUAACCAUCCAGAGGAGGAACUUGUUGAAUUCCUGGAAGAAAAAGUAAGAACACUCCUCAAGCUGGUGUGUGAAGACCUGAAGCUCCUCCCCGUUGUGAUCACACAGGCUGCAGCAGAAACAUGCUCACAUUGGGUAUUGUAUUCAGGCCAGGGGAAUACCCUGGAGGUAUUUAAGAAAUGUGUAGACAUGGCACUUCGGGGCACUCUAGUGCCCGAGAUUGUUGAUUUGUGUCU